AAUGCAAGGAAUGAAGGUUGAUCCAAGAUCAUGGUCCCGCACCUUGUUCCCCUUGUUUCCAUGCUAUUGAGCUUCUCCCAUUGAUCUCGGAUCAGGCUUCAUUCCUUUACAUU
rnacentral:pre_miRNA from 1 species